CUGAGAGGAUGACCAGCCACACUGGAACUGAGACACGGUCCAGACUCCUACGGGAGGCAGCAGUGGGGAAUAUUGCACAAUGGGCGCAAGCCUGAUGCAGCCAUGCCGCGUGUAUGAAGAAGGCCUUCGGGUUGUAAAGUACUUUCAGCGGGGAGGAAGGGAGUAAAGUUAAUACCUUUGCUCAUUGACGUUACCCGCAGAAGAAGCACCGGCUAACUCCGUGCCAGCAGCCGCGGUAAUACGGAGGGUGCAAGCGUUAAUCGGAAUUACUGGGCGUAAAGCGCACGCAGGCGGUUUGUUAAGUCAGAUGUGAAAUCCCCGGGCUCAACCUGGGAACUGCAUCUGAUACUGGCAAGCUUG
rnacentral:rRNA from 1 species